rnacentral:misc_RNA from 1 species
GAAAUGCGAUAAGUAAUGUGAAUUGCAGAAUUCAGUGAAUCAUCGAAUCUUUGAACGCACAUUGCGCCCUCUGGUAUUCCGGAGGGCAUGCCUGUUUGAGUGUCAUUAAUCUCUCACAGAACCUUUUGGUUUCUGUCGAAGUUGGGAGCUGCGACCCCUCGUGGGACGCUCUCCUCAAAUGCAUUGGUGCGGCCUGCCGCCCGGUUACACAACGUUCUAGGUUCGUCCAACUCGUUGCAUUGCCGGUGCACUUCUGGUGCUGCACCUUAAGCCCGCCUCGUGCCUCGUGCUCUUGGCUCAUCUUCAUUUAUUGACCUCAGAUCAGGUAGGAAUACGCGCUGAACUUAA